UACAGUCUUCAGAUGAUCGACUCUGGUGG
rnacentral:sRNA from 1 species